rnacentral:rRNA from 1 species
UAAUAGCGUAUAUUUAAGUUGCUGCAGUUAAAAAGCUCGUAGUUGGAUUUCGGGUGGGAAUGGCCGGUCCGCCGUUUCGGUGUGCACUUGCUACGCCCACCUUGCUGCCGGGGACGUGCUCUUGAGUUCACGCUCGGGACACGGAGUCGGCGAGGUUACUUUGAGUAAAUUAGAGUGUUCAAAGCAGGCCUACGCUCUGAAUACAUUAGCAUGGAAUAACACGAUAGGACUCUGGCCUAUCUUGUUGGUCUGUAGGACCGGAGUAAUGAUUAAGAGGGACAGUCGGGGGCAUUCGUAUCUCAUUGUCAGAGGUGAAAUUCUUGGAUUUAUGAAAGACGAACUACUGCGAAAGCAUUUGCCAAGGAUGUUUUCAUUAA